AACGAACGCUGGCGGCAGGCUUAACACAUGCAAGUCGAGCGCAUCCUUCGGGGUGAGCGGCAGACGGGUGAGUAACGCGUGGGAAUGUACCCUUUGCUACGGAAUAGCUCCGGGAAACUGGAAUUAAUACCGUAUGAGCCCUUCGGGGGAAAGAUUUAUCAGCAAAGGAUCAGCCCGCGUUGGAUUAGCUAGUUGGUGGGGUAAAGGCCUACCAAGGCGACGAUCCAUAGCUGGUCUGAGAGGAUGAUCAGCCACAUUGGGACUGAGACACAGCCCAAACUCCUACGGGAGGCAGCAGUGGGGAAUAUUGGACAAUGGGCGCAAGCCUGAUCCAGCCAUGCCGCGUGAGUGAUGAAGGCCCUAGGGUUGUAAAGCUCUUUCACCGGAGAAGAUAAUGACGGUAUCCGGAGAAGAAGCCCCGGCUAACUUCGUGCCAGCCGCCGCCGUAA
rnacentral:rRNA from 1 species